rnacentral:rRNA from 1 species
AGCGAACGCUGGCGGCAGGCUUAACACAUGCAAGUCGAGCGGGCACUUUCGGGUGUCAGCGGCGGACGGGUGGGUAACGCGUGGGAACGUGCCCUCUGGUUCGGAAUAACUCAGGGAAACUUGAGCUAAUACCGGAUACGCCCUUUUGGGGUAAGGCGUGUUGGCAGAGGAUCGGCCCGCGUCUGAUUCGCUAGCUGGUCAGGUAACGGCUCACCCAGGGGACGAUCAGUAGCUGGUCUGAGAGGAUGAUCAGCCACACUGGGACUGAGAGACGGCCCAGACUCCUACGGGAGGCAGCAGGUGGGAAUAUUGGACAAUGGGCGCAAGCCUGAUCCAGCCAUGCCGCGUGAGUGAGGAAGGCCUUAGGGUUGUAAAGCUCUGUUAUCCGGGACGAUAAUGACGGUACCGGAGGAAUAAGCCACGGCUAACUUCGUG